UACGUAGGGUGCGAGCGUUAAUCGGAAUUACUGGGCGUAAAGCGUGCGCAGGCGGUUUUGUAAGCCAGAUGUGAAAGCCCCGGGCUUAACCUGGGAAUGGCAUUUUAGACUGGAUAUCUGGAGUACAGUAGAGGGUGGAGGAAUUUCCGGUGUAGCGGUGAAAUGCGUAGAUAUCGGAAGGAACACCAGUGGCGAAGGCGACCACCUGGACUGAUACUGACACUGAGGCGCGAGAGCGUGGGUAGCAAACAGG
rnacentral:rRNA from 1 species